GUGCUCGCUUUGGCAGCACAUAUACUAAAAUUGGAACGAUACAGAGAAGAUUAGCACAGCCCCUGCGCAAGGAUGACACGCAAAUUCGUGAAGCAUUCCAUAUUUUC
rnacentral:snRNA from 1 species